rnacentral:lncRNA from 1 species
CUCCUAUUCCUGGAUUUCUAAUACAUUACCCUAACUGUUUGUGUUGUACAUGUGCAUAUGUAUGUAAUCAGUAUCUUUCAUAGAUUCGAUUUUCAAAAGUUAAAAGGGUGAAAAUUAAUUCCUUUUAUGUGUAUCCAUGGCAACAUUCUGCAUUUAUUUACCAUAAAAUAUUGCAAAAAGGGGGGUGAACAUGUCAUAUAUCCCCCCCAAAAUUUGGAUCAAACUAGAAUUUCAAUGACUUUGAGUGAUACCUUUUUAGAAACUGUUUUCAUAAAUCUU